GAUGAACGCUGGCGGCGUGCCUAAUACAUGCAAGUCGAGCGAACGGACGAGAAGCUUGCUUCUCUGAUGUUAGCGGCGGACGGGUGAGUAACACGUGGAUAACCUACCUAUAAGACUGGGAUAACUUCGGGAAACCGGAGCUAAUAACGGAUGAUAUUUUGAACCGCAUGGGUCAAAAGUGAAAGACGGUCUUGCUGUCACUUAUAGAUGGAUCCGCGCCGCAUUAGCUAGUUGGUAAGGUAACGGCUUACCAAGGCAACGAUGCAUAGCCGACCUGAGAGGGUGAUCCGCCACACUGGAACUGAGACACGGUCCAGACUCCUACGGGAGGCAGCAGUAGGGAAUCUUCCGCAAUGGGCGAAAGCCUGACGGAGCAACGCCGCGUUAGUGAUGAAGGUCUUCGGAUCGUAAAACUCUGUUAUUAUGGAAGAACAUAUGUGUAAGUAACUGUGCACAUCUUGACGGUACCUAAUCAGAAAGCCACGGCUAACUACGUG
rnacentral:rRNA from 1 species